CAGCAGCCGCGGGAAUACAGAGGAUGCAAGCGUUAAUCGGAAUUACUGGGCGUAAAGCGUGCGUAGGCGGUUCGUUAAGUCUGUUGUGAAAGCCCCGGGCUCAACCUGGGAAUGGCAAUGGAUACUGGCGAGCUAGAGUGUGUCAGAGGAUGGUGGAAUUCCCGGUGUAGCGGUGAAAUGCGUAGAGAUCGGGAGGAACAUCAGUGGCGAAGGCGGCCAUCUGGGACAACACUGACGCUGAGGCACGAAAGCGUGGGGAGCAAACAGGACUAGAUACCCCUGUAGUCCCUGUCUCUUAUAC
rnacentral:rRNA from 1 species